GAGUUUGAUCCUGGCUCAGAACGAACGCUGGCGGCGUGCCUAACACAUGCAAGUCCAACGUGAAAGGGGAGCAAUCCCCCGGUAGGGUGGCAAACGGGUGAGUAAUACAUGGGUGAUCUACCUUAGGGAUGGGGAUAUCCUUCCGAAAGGAGGGGCAAUACCGAAUAUUGUCCGGAGCCGUGAAGGGUUCCGGGGAAAGGGAGGCCUCUGAUACAAGCUUUCGCCUUAAGAUGAGCCCAUGGCCCAUCAGCUAGUUGGUAGGGUAAAGGCCUACCAAGGCUACGACGGGUCGCUGGUCUGAGAGGACGACCAGCCACACUGGCACUGAGAUACGGGCCAGACUCCUACGGGAGGCAGCAGUGAGGAAUAUUGCGCAAUGGGGGAAACCCUGACGCAGCAACGCCGCGUGUGGGAAGAAGGCCUUCGGGUCGUAAACCACUUUUGCACGGGACGAAAAAGGGAUAUCGAACAAAUAUCCCCGAUGACGGUACCGUGAGAAUAAGCCACGGCUAACUCUGUGCCAGCAGCCGCGGUAAGACAGAGGUGGCAAGCGUUGUUCGGAAUUACUGGGCGUAAAGAGUCUGUAGGUGGUUUGUCAAGUCUUUGGUGAAAGGCCGUAGCUUAACUAUGGGAAUGCCAAAGAGACUGGCAGGCUGGAGGCUGGGAGAGGGAAGCGGAAUUUCUGGUGUAGCGGUGAAAUGCGUAGAUAUCAGAAGGAAGGCCGGUGGCGAAGGCGGCUUCCUGGAA
rnacentral:rRNA from 1 species